rnacentral:rRNA from 1 species
UACGUAGGGCGCAAGCGUUGUCCGGAUUCACUGGGCGUAAAGGGUGCGUAGGCGGGAGAGUAAGUCCGCGGUGAAAUCUCACGGCUCAACCGUGAAACUGCCGUUGAUACUGCUUUUCUUGAGUUCGGGAGAGGUUGAUGGAAUUCCAGGUGUAGCGGUGAAAUGCGUAGAUAUCUGGAAGAACACCAGUGGCGAAGGCGGUCAACUGGCCCGAAACUGACGCUGAGGCACGAAAGCGUGGGGAGCGAACAGG